GAUGAACGCUUGCGGCGUGCCUAAUACAUGCAAGUCGAACGAGUUCUGAUUAUUGAAAGGUGCUUGCAUCUUGAUUUUAAUUUUGAACGAGUGGCGGACGGGUGAGUAACACGUGGGUAACCUGCCCUUAAGUGGGGGAUAACAUUUGGAAACAGAUGCUAAUACCGCAUAAAUCCAAGAACCGCAUGGUUCUUGGCUGAAAGAUGGCGUAAGCUAUCGCUUUUGGAUGGACCCGCGGCGUAUUAGCUAGUUGGUGAGGUAACGGCUCACCAAGGCAAUGAUACGUAGCCGAACUGAGAGGUUGAUCGGCCACAUUGGGACUGAGACACGGCCCAAACUCCUACGGGAGGCAGCAGUAGGGAAUCUUCCACAAUGGACGCAAGUCUGAUGGAGCAACGCCGCGUGAGUGAAGAAGGCUUUCGGGUCGUAAAACUCUGUUGUUGGAGAAGAAUGGUCGGCAGAGUAACUGUUGUCGGCGUGACGGUAUCCAACCAGAAAGCCACGGCUAACUACGUGCCAGCAGCCGCGGUAAUACGUAGGUGGCAAGCGUUAUCCGGAUUUAUUGGGCGUAAAGCGAGCGCAGGCGGUUUUUUAAGUCUGAUGUGAAAGCCCUCGGCUUAACCGAGGAAGUGCAUCGGAAACUGGGAAACUUGAGUGCAGAAGAGGACAGUGGAACUCCAUGUGUAGCGGUGAAAUGCGUAGAUAUAUGGAAGAACACCAGUGGCGAAGGCGGCUGUCUGGUCUGUAACUGACGCUGAGGCUCGAAAGCAUGGGUAGCGAACAGGAUUAGAUACCCUGGUAGUCCAUGCCGUAAACGAUGAAUGCUAGGUGUUGGAGGGUUUCCGCCCUUCAGUGCCGCAGCUAACGCAUUAAGCAUUCCGCCUGGGGAGUACGACCGCAAGGUUGAAACUCAAAGGAAUUGACGGGGGCCCGCACAAGCGGUGGAGCAUGUGGUUUAAUUCGAAGCAACGCGAAGAACCUUACCAGGUCUUGACAUCUUUUGAUCACCUGAGAGAUCAGGUUUCCCCUUCGGGGGCAAAAUGACAGGUGGUGCAUGGUUGUCGUCAGCUCGUGUCGUGAGAUGUUGGGUUAAGUCCCGCAACGAGCGCAACCCUUAUGACUAGUUGCCAGCAUUUAGUUGGGCACUCUAGUAAGACUGCCGGUGACAAACCGGAGGAGGGUGGGGAUGACGUCAAAUCAUCAUGCCCCUUAUGACCUGGGCUACACACGUGCUACAAUGGAUGGUACAACGAGUUGCGAGACCGCGAGGUCAAGCUAAUCUCUUAAAGCCAUUCUCAGUUCGGACUGUAGGCUGCAACUCGCCUACACGAAGUCGGAAUCGCUAGUAAUCGCGGAUCAGCACGCCGCAGUGAAUACGUUCCCGGGCCUUGUACACACCGCCCGUCACACCAUGAGAGUUUGUAACACCCGAAGCCGGUGGCGUAACCCUUUUAGGGAGCGAGCCGUCUAAGGUGGGACAAAUGAUUAGGGUGAAGU
rnacentral:rRNA from 1 species